AGCCCUUUUAAAAACAGUCCAGAGAGGCUGGCAAGGGGGAUAUGGCAAAAGGAACGUGUCUUUUGCUUAGUUGGCUUAUCCUCUUUGCGAACGCUUGCAAAGAGGAUUUUUUUU
rfam:Bacillus methanolicus MGA3, complete genome.